rnacentral:rRNA from 1 species
UACGUAGGGUGCGAGCGUUAAUCGGAAUUACUGGGCGUAAAGCGUGCGCAGGCGGCAUGAUAAGCCAGAUGUGAAAUCCCCGGGCUUAACCUGGGAACUGCAUUUGGAACUGUCAAGCUAGAGUAUAGCAGAGGGGGGUAGAAUUCCACGUGUAGCAGUGAAAUGCGUAGAGAUGUGGAGGAAUACCGAUGGCGAAGGCAGCCCCCUGGGUUAAUACUGACGCUCAUGCACGAAAGCGUGGGGAGCAAACAGG